GACAACCUGAAAGUAGAAGAGUGAUUGCUGCAUGUUACAAAGAGUAAUACAUGUGUGCUUCUUGCAAUGAUCACAAAGAAGCUUGUGAUGAAGAAUAUGUGUCAAUAAAAAAGAACUUAUGCAGGAUAAGAGAAUGCACCUGGAGAUUCUAAAAAGAGGUUUGUGUGAAGACUUGCUAGAGAAGUGGUCACUGGGAGCAGCCUUUGAGGUGAACAGCCUGGCCCCACUUUCUGUCCCAUCUCUGCGUCCUGAUCCACCUUACACACCUGAUGUCACAGCUACAAACAGCUCCUGUCACUAUGCUGUCCCAACCAUGAUGGACUGGACCCUCAAAUCAUGAGCCAAAAUAAAGCCUUCUACCUGCCUUCUUUCAUGGCAGCGUGACCUCAACACCUCUGGAGGUGAUGGGUCUCUGAGGCAGUAGAAGGCACCACAGAGCCCUGCUCAAACCCAGAGGCAAUCCCAGUCACUGACAAUGAGAUGCUCACAGACUUCCUUAGGCCUGUGGUGACAGUGGCGCUCUGACUUGAUUAAUGGUCUCUGCAUCACCUUAGGGUCCUUCCUCCUUUCCUUGAACAAUAGCUCACAGUGGCUGCUGAAUAGCUCUACUGUCCUUCAGAGCCACUCUCUGUCCUGGGACUUGUCAUGUGUAUGUCCACCUUGGUAGUUCUUUGUCCCCUCUGGCUUUUUACAACUCUCUAGCUUUGUUUAUGCUUUGGUAGUGAAAACAAUCUAUAAAAUAUGAAACUA